AGGACCCUCUCCCUAUGUAGAUAUAAAGGGCUCAUUCUAAGAUUAGUUGAGCUACUUCACAAUCUUUCCACACACCCCUGACAACAGUGCAGAAGUAUCCCAUGGGCAUUGUGGGAGACGCACGAGUAAACCCCUGCAUCAGAGACAUGGAGACCCUGUAUCUGGAGCCAGGUAGAGACGGUGUAGCGCUGGGGACCACCUCGAGCCUGAAAAAAGACCAGAU